CCUACGGGGGGCAGCAGUAGGGAAUUUUCCACAAUGGACGAAAGUCUGAUGGAGCAAUGCCGCGUGAGGGAUGAAGGUCUUCGGAUCGUAAACCUCUGUUGAUGGGGAAGAACAGCUAUAAUAGGAAAUGAUUAUAGUCUGACGGUACCUAUCCAGAAAGUCACGGCAAACUAUGUGCCAGCAGCCGCGGUAAUACAUAGGUGGCAAGCGUUAUCCGGAUUUAUUGGGCGUAAAGAGUGCACAGGCGGUUUACUAAGUUAGUUGUUAAAUACCAAAGCUCAACUUUGGUGUGCAGUUAAAACUGGUAGACUAGAAUACAGGUGGGGGUAAUGGAAUUCCAUGUGUAGCGGUGGAAUGCAUAAAUAUAUGGAGGAACACCAGUAGCGAAGGCGGUUACCUGAACUGUUAUUGACGCUUAAGCACGAAAGCGUGGGGAGCAAAUAGGAUUAGAUACCCCGGUAGUC
rnacentral:rRNA from 1 species